UACGUAGGGGCAAGCGUUGUCCGGAUUUAUUGGGCGGUAAAGAGCGUGUAGGCGGCCAGGUAGGUGGGUUGUGAAACGUGGAGGCUCAACCUUCAGACGUCGACCCAAACCCCUGGCUAGAGUCCGGAAGAGGAGAGUGGAAGUUCCUGGUGUAGCGGUGAAAUGCGCAGAUAUCUGGAGGAACACCGGUGGCGAAGGCGGCAUCCUGGACCAACACUGACGCUGAGGAGCGAAAGCCAGGGGAGCA
rnacentral:rRNA from 1 species